rnacentral:rRNA from 1 species
UACGAAGGGGGCGAGCGUUGUCCGGAUUUAUUGGGCGUAAAGAGCGUGUAGGCGGCCAGGUAGGUCUGCUGUGAAAACUCGAGGCUCAACCUCGAGACGUCGGCGGAAACUAUCUGGCUAGAGUCCGGAAGAGGAGAGUGGAAUUCCUGGUGUAGCGGUGAAAUGCGCAGAUAUCAGGAAGAACACCCGUGGCGAAGGCGGCUCUCUGGGACGGUACUGACGCUGAGACGCGAAAGCGUGGGGAGCGAACAGG